rnacentral:lncRNA from 1 species
ACCAGAGGGAUUUGAUGCUCCUGCCUGGGCCCAACUCACAGAAGGGAUUGUGACAUAUCACUGGACCCAGCACUGAGGGGACAUUGUGUAAUAUCGUUGGGCCUCACACGUACGUUAUGUGACUCUCCUGCGUGUGCCCUGUCCAUGUGGGCCAUUGUGACAUAUUGCUGGGUCCAACAACUGGUUGAUGUAGCUCUACUGCCUAGGUCCUGCCUAUGGAGGACUUUGUGAUGUAUCCCUGAACCCAUCACACAGAUUCUGCCCUCAGAGGACAUUGUGACAUGUCACUGGGCCUAAUACUAAGAUGACAUCAUUCUUUAGUUUUGGCACUGCCCUCAGAAGCCGUGGUGGUGUAUUGCUGGGCCCAGAGCCAAUGUGAUGUGAGUCUCCUGCCUGGAUCCUGCCUACAAGGUGCAUUGUGACAUACCUCUGGGCCCUUUGACUAUUUUAUGUGACUCUCCUCUCUUACCUGGAUGUUGCCCAAAAAGAGAUUGUGACAUACUUUGCACCCAGCACUGAGGUGAUUUGACUGUCCUCUUCUGCCUGUGCUUUGCCUACAGGAGAGAGAGUGACUUAUUACUGAGUUUAGCAUACACAUGAUGUGAUUUUCCUCCACUCACAGAAGUCAUUGUGACAUAUAUCUUGGCCCAUCACUGAGAUUGUGACUGUCUUUUUCCUGGGACCUGUCCACAGUGGAGAGUAUGACACUUUUUGGCCAAGCACCUACAAGAUACGACUCUCUUCUUACACCUGGGCCACUGGGGUGAUUUUGACAUGUAGUUGGCCCCAGCUCCAAGAUUAUGUGACUCCACACUUCUUCCUGAGCCCUACCUACAGGUUAUGUGAAUCCUCUUCUUCCCAGAUCCUGCCAAAAGGAAAGAUUGUGACAUAUCACUGGAACCAGCACUUAGGCUAUUGUGACAUAUGCCUGAGGCUAACACCCAGAUGAUAUAAGUCUUCAUCCUGGACCCUGUCUACAGAAGUCAUUGCGAUAUAUGUCUUCACCAAUCACUGAGGUCGAACGCCCAGUGAUGUGACUCUCCUUCCUGGUCCAUGCCCUCAGGGAAGAUUGUGACAUACCCCGGCCCAGCACACAGUUAAUGUCACUCUUGUGCUUGCUGUCUACCCAUGGGUAGGAUUGUGACAUAUAUCGUGGCCAAGCACAA